UUUUAUAUUUGCAACAUGUUUUACAUUUCAAGUACCUACUUGUACAUCAUGUUUAAUACAAACAAAAACCUUGCACUGACUAAUACUUAAUGUAACAAGAAAAAAAAAGUAUUGCAACAACAAAUUUCUAAAAUGUUAGUUAAAAUUGUAUGUGGAAGUAUUUUUUUUAUGUCUACACAUUUUAUUUAUCAUAGUCAUUGUAAUCAGUAUAUUGGACUAAAAAAUACAUAAUUCUAGUAGUCUGGAACAUGGAUAUUUAUAGAAUGGUUAUGCAACAAAUAAUUUUAAUGUGUACAGUGAAUAUUCUUAAAAAACUUAUUUAAAUUUAUUGAUUAACAAUAAUUAUAUAUAUAAUGACAAAUAGCACGAUUUUAUAAAAUUGUAUCUAUAGUCUUAACAGUUUUUAAUAUUGCUUACUUAAAAGCGCUGCAGUGAAAGAAGUUAAAAUACAAUAGAAGACGAGAAUUAUGAUUGCUACUUUGAAAUCACCUGUGGAAAAUUACUGCUAUUGCUGUUUCAUGCCUACACUAAUAGACGAGUAAUUCUCAUUGAGUAUAGGCUGUUCUAACAUAGAUAAAAAUAAUAGAUCUGUCUUAGCUCCAUGCUGUAAUCAUCUUAUGGUAAACCAUGGUCAAAAGCACAAUUUACUUUGGAAUGUAAGUAAACUAAUUUAGUCAUGGUAUCUUUAAUAUGAGGCAUUUCUUAACAUUAUCUCAUACUUUCAUAAUUCUUAGGAGUCAAGAAUCUAGCUGAAUGACAGGAGUCAUUGGUAGAAACUUUUUGGCGGCCCUAUCAUAGAUCAUAGGUCUUUGUUAAGAAUAUUUAUCUAAACUAUAAACUAAAAUACCUUUGUGAUAGUAGAUGAUCUAAACCUAUGGUUUUAUUGUUGGUUCGCUAAUGUAACUGUAUAAUAUGAGAAAGCAAUACUCGUCAAAAUUUUGAAGACAUUCUUUUUGGGAUUACCCAAGAUUGUUAUUAAAUUAAUAUGUUUUUAUUGUAAGUAUUUGUUUCCAUAUUGCGACAGCUUGACAUUGCACAAACUACAAUUCACCAUUUUUAUAGGAAAUAAAAAAGUAAAAUUCUUUUAAAACAGUAAAAAUUGAUUAUCAUAUUAUUUUAAUUAUUAGUAAUUAUAGCAUUAACAUUGUUCUGAUUGGAUCUAACACCAGUCUCAGAGUAACUGUAGCCCAUACAUCACACAUUAAGCAAAUGCCCUAAUUUCAAAGGGUAUACUCAAGAAUCUAGUAAACGUUGUAGAAUGGAUCUAUAAUUAUUAUGUGUUAUCUGUACUUUAAUAUCUGAUCUACAGUCUUUCCUUAAAGUAGGUACCUAAUAAUAUUAUGUUUCUAUUGUCAUUAAUUUAUUGUUAAGC